UUGGUGGAGCGAUUUGUCUG
rnacentral:ncRNA from 2 species